GGAAAGGCGUCCAGGAGAUUGCAAAAGGAUUACUUGGUUCUUGCUAUAUCUGUUAAGGUAGAAAAUGGGAGGUCUUUAAGAUUGUAUUUCUCACUGUUAGCUAUUGCGGUACUUAGGAAGUUGAUUGGAGGUUCAAGUUCAGUUUUGUAAGGGAAGGAAAGAGCUGCAAAGUUCUAAGUCAUUGAGUCAAUUGUGUUGAAAGCUAGCUCUAAAUAUUGCUUUAACUGAGGAAUCAUUGGUUGUUGGCUGCCAUUAACCCGUUUACUGCAUUGGUGUAUUACUUCGACCCAUUGAGUAACAUUAACAUCAAUCCAGGAAUGAAGAACAUCGUAGAGCU